GACGAACGCUGGCGGCGUGCUUAACACAUGCAAGUCGAACGGAAAGGCCCUGCUUUUGUGGGGUGCUCGAGUGCGAACGGGUGAGUAACACGUGAGUAACCUGCCCUUGACUUUGGGAUAACUUCAGGAAACUGGGGCUAAUACCGGAUAGGAGCUCCUGCUGCAUGGUGGGGGUUGGAAAGUUUCGGCGGUUGGGGAUGGACUCGCGGCUUAUCAGCUUGUUGGUGGGGUAGUGGCUUACCAAGGCUUUGACGGGUAGCCGGCCUGAGAGGGUGACCGGCCACAUUGGGACUGAGAUACGGCCCAGACUCCUACGGGAGGCAGCAGUGGGGAAUAUUGCACAAUGGGCGGAAGCCUGAUGCAGCAACGCCGCGUGCGGGAUGACGGCCUUCGGGUUGUAAACCGCUUUCGCCUGUGACGAAGCGUGAGUGACGGUAGUGGGUAAAGAAGCACCGGCUAACUACGUG
rnacentral:rRNA from 1 species